rnacentral:lncRNA from 1 species
GUUGAGAUUUUCUCUUCCCAGAUAUGUCUAGGUUUGUGUCAAGUGGCCAAAAACAAUUGACAUUGCGUGAGCAAAUGUUACAUCUCAAGCUCACAAAAGGGUGACCACAGAUUCCCAGUUUCAGCUCCCACAUAAACCAGAUAAGCCAAUCACCCAUCAAACUUCUCCUGUCUAGAAGAGCAUGGGGACUAAGUGACCAGACUUCACUUGUUACAUUCAGCCCAAGAUGAAACAGUUCCAGGAGCCUAUACUUCAGUGGGAGUAUACCAAGUGGGAGACUGACUCAAAAGAGUCACAAGCUCUUGGCAACCCAGUGGGACACCAUGUGAAAUGCUGCCACACAGCUCUCCUGAUUGGAAAGAGGAUACUUCUCACAAUGCUGGACACAGAGACACUGGAUGUGGAGUCAAGCCACUUUAUCCGCUGCUCCUCAGGAAUCAAUAAAUGUUAA